CAUCAUGUACACAUCACAGAGCUUCGGUGAAGUUUCCUAUGACAUGCCAUAGAUAUAGUUGACUAUGGUUGAGAAUAAGCCAUUUUCACAUAUUUGAAGCUUCAAUUAACGAAUUAACUGAAUCCAUGGCAUCUUCUUCAUCGUCUGCUACUGCUAGAUCGUGGCAGUUGACUCAAUUAACUGAAUCUUCAGCUAGAUCGUCACAGUUGACUCGGUGGAGAUACGAUGUGUUUCUAAAUUUCUGUGGCGGGGAUACUCGCAAAAAUUUCACAAGUCACUUGUACAAAGCUUUGACAAACAGAGGAAUUUCGGCCUUUCUAGACGAAGAAACGCUAGAGCAUGGCGAUUCGAUCUCUGAACAAAUCGUGAAAGUUAUCGAAGAAUCUCAAGUUGCCGUAGUUAUUUUCUCGAAGAAUUAUGCUAAAUCGAAGUGGUGUUUGAAUGAAUUAGUGAAGAUCAUGGAAUGCAAAGAGAAAAAUGGGCAAUUAGUCAUACCAGUCUUCUAUGAUGUGGAUCCAUCAGAAGUUCGAUACAUAAGGGGAACGUUUGCAGAGGCAUUUGCCAAACACAAUAUUAGGUAUAAGGAUGAAGUUGGAGGAAUUCACAAGGUGAUAAAAUGGAUGGUUGCUGCAAGUAAUGCCUCAUAUCUAGAAGGUUGUGAUAUCCGUGAGAGAAUUGAAUCAGAUUGUAUUCUGGAUCUUGUUAAUGAAAUUUCAUCCAAAUUAUGCAAGAAUUCUUUAUCUUAUUUGCAAGAUAUUGUUGGAAUAGAUACUCAUUUAAAGGAAGUAAGGUCCCUGCUAGAGAUGGAAAUUGAUGAUGUUAGGAUUGUGGGGAUUUGUGGAAUUGGGGGAGUCGGCAAAACGACAAUAGCAAGAGCUGUUUUCGAUACACUCUCAUCUCAAUUCGAUGGUUCUUGUUUCCUUGCGGACAUUAAGGAAAACAAACAUGGAAUGCACUAUCUGCAAAAUAUCCUUCUCUCUGAACUAUUAAGGGAAAAAGCUAAUUACGUGAUCAGUAAGGAGGCUGGAAAGCACCUGAUUGCUCGCAGACUUCGUUUUAAGAAGGUUUUAGUUGUGCUUGAUGACAUAGAUCACAAAGACCAUUUGGAUUACCUAGCAGGGGAUCUUGGUUGGUUUGGCAAUGGAAGCAGAAUCAUUGCUACAACUAGAGACAAGCAAAUUAUGGGGAAGAAUAAUGUAGUUUAUGAAGUGACUACAUUAGCUGAACAUGAAGCUAUUCAACUGUUUAAUCAAUAUGCUUUCAAGGAAGAAGUAAUAGAUGAGUGUUUCGAGAAGCUAACAUUGGAGGUAGUAGGUCAUGCUAAAGGCCUUCCUUUAGCCCUGAAAGUAUUGGGUUCUUUGUUAUAUAAGCAGGACAUAACUGUGUGGAGAAGUGUUGCAGACCGAAUAAAGAGAAACACUAGUUCAAAAAUUGUUGAAAACCUCAUAAUAAGUUAUGAUGGGUUGGAUCGUGAAGAGCAAGAGAUAUUUCUAGAUAUUGCAUGCUUCUUAAGAGGGAAAAAACAAACCGAGAUCAAGCAAAUUCUUGAGAGCUGUGAUUUUGGAGCUGAAGAUGGAUUGAGAGUGCUAAUUGACAAAUCUCUUGUGUUCAUCUCUGAAUAUGAUACAAUUGAAAUGUAUGACUCAGUACAAGAUAUGGGUAGGUAUAUAGUGAAAAUGCAAAAGGAUCGGGGCGAAUGUAGCAGAGUAUGGGAUGCUGAAGACUGCAAAGAACUGAUUAUCAACAAUACAGGAACCAUAGCAGUGGAAGCAAUCUGGUUAACUUGUUUUGAACAACUAUGCAUUAAUAAAAAGGCAAUGGAAAAUAUGAAAAGGCUUAGGAUAUUAUUCAUAUGUGAUGGGAACGUAUCUGAUAGGAUAACUUCCGUCUCUUCACCUCCCUCUUUGAUUGAUUUGGAAGACGUUCCCUAUGGCUCCAUUGAGUACCUGCCCAGCAACUUGCGUUGGUUUGUCUGGAAUCACUUCCCUUGGUAUUCAUUGCCAAAAAAUUUUGAACCCCAAAGGCUUGUUCAUUUGGAUCUCCGGUGGAGUUCGCUAUGUUAUCUAUGGACGGAGGCAAAGCAUUUGCCAUCUCUACGGAAGCUGGAUCUUAGCUACUCCAAAAGCCUGAUGCAAAUACCAGAUUUUAUAGGGAUGCCAAAUUUGGAGUAUUUGAAUUUGGAGGAAUGUUCGAGUCUUGAAGAGGUUCACCAUUCCCUAGUAUGUUGCAGAAAACUCAUUGAGUUAAAUUUGCAGAGUUGUGGAAGCUUAAAGAGGUUUCCAUGUGUCAAUGUGGAAUCUAUGGAAUAUCUGAACCUAGAUGGUUGCUAUAGUUUAGAGAAAUUUCCAGGAAUCUUCGGAAGAAUGAAGCCAGAGUUAGUGAUUCACAUGCAAGGAUCUUGGAUAAUGGAACUACCAUCAUCUAUUAUUGAGUACCGAGCUGGUCUGACAGUGCUAGAUUUGAGAGAUAUGGAAAACCUUGUAACUCUUCCAAGCAGCAUUUGUGAGUUGAAAGGUUUGGUAAAGCUAGAUGUGUCCUACUGCUCAAAACUUGAAAGCUUGCCAGAAAAGAUAGCUGAUUUAGAAAACUUGAAGGAACUUUAUGCCCCAGGGACUCUAAUUUCACAACCUCCGUCUUCCAUUGUCCGCUUGAACAAUCUUAAAUUCUUGACCUUUGCGAAACGUAAAUCAGAAGAUGGAGUGUACUUUAUGUUCCCUCAGGUGAAUGAAGGGUUACUCUCAUUGGAAGAACUAAAUCUCAGUUACUGCAAUUUAAUAGAUGGAGGACUUCCAGAAGACAUUGGAUGCUUAUCCUCGUUGAAAGUGUUAGAUCUCACUGGAAAUAAUUUUGAGCAUUUGCCUCAAAGCAUAGUCCAACUUGGUGCUCUUCAAUCCUUGACCUUAUCAUAUUGCAAGAAGCUUACACAGCUGCCAGAACUUCCCCAGCAAUUAGAUACAAUAAAUGCAGAUUGGGGCAAUGAUUCAAUCUGUAAUUCGUUGUUUCAGAAUAUCUCACCAUUCCAGAAUGACAUCUCUGCUUCAGAUCCCUUGUCACUAAGAGUGUUUACAGCUAGGGGGAAAAAUAUCCCAAGUUGGUUCCACUAUCACGGAACUGGUAGAAGUGUAUCAGUCGAUUUGCCUGAAAAUUGGUAUGCAUCGGAUAACUUCUUGGGAUUUGCUGUAUGUUUCUCUGGCAACUUAAGUAACACCACAGUUGACUUUAUUCCCUUAUGUGAUGAUGGGAUGUCGUUGAUGACCCAGAAACUUGCCUUAUCCAACCAUUCAGAAGAAUUUCCAGAAACUGCUCUUCAUUUUUUCUUGGUACCUUUUGCUGGAUUAUGGGAUACAUCUAAGGCAAUUGGAGAAACACCAAAUGGGCCUAUUACAAUAUCUUUUUCUGGAGAAAAGAAGUUUGGAUUUCGUUUGUUGUAUAAACAAGAACCAAAUCUUGAGGGCUUGUUACAAAUAAGGGAAAAUAAUGAAUCCAUGGCAUCAUCUUCUUCUUCUGCUAGAUCGUUACAGUUGCCUCAAUGGAAGUACGAUGUCUUUCUAAGUUUUAGAGGUGAAGAUACUCGCAGAACAUUUAUGAGUCACUUGUACCAAGGUUUGAAAAACAGGGGAAUAUUCACCUUUCAAGGUGAUGAAAGGCUAGAGCUUGGUGAUUCGAUCCAAGAACUCUUGAAAGGUAUCGAAGAGUCUCAAGUUGCUCUUAUAGUUUUCUCAAAGAAUUAUGCUACAUCAGUGUGGUGCUUGAAUGAACUAGUGAAGAUCAUGGAAUGCAAGGAAGAAAAUGGACAAACUGUCAUACCGGUGUUCUAUGAUGUGGAUCCAUCACAUGUUCGGAAUCAAAGAGAGAGCUUAGAAGAAGCCUUUGCCAAACAUGAAUCGAUGUAUAAGGAUGAUGCUGAAGGAAUGCAGAAGGUGAAACGAUGGAGGAAUGCCCUAACUGCUGCCGCAGAUCUAAAAGGAUACGAUAUCCGUGAUGGGAUUGAAUCUGAGAAUAUUCAGCAGAUCGUCGACCACAUCUCUUUCAAAUUAUGCAAUAGUGCUUAUUCUUUAUCUUCUUUGAAUGAUGUUGUGGGAAUACAUGCUCAUUUAGAGAAACUAAAAUCCCGACUUGAAAUCGAAAUUGAUGAUGUCCGGAUUGUAGGGAUCUGGGGAACAGGUGGAAUCGGUAAAACAACAAUAGCAAAAGCCAUGUUUCAUACUCUAUCUUAUCAAUUUAAAGCUGCUUGUUUUCUCGAGGAUGUUAAAGAAAAUGCCAAAAAGAAUCAACUGCAUUAUUUACAAAAUACUCUUCUCUCUGAACUGUUAGGAGAAACAGAUGAUUACGUCAAUAAUAAGUAUGAUGGGAAGUCCAUGAUUCUGAGCAGACUUUCUUCGAUGAAGGUGCUAAUUGUGCUUGAUGACAUCGAUGAAAGAGAUCAUUUAGAGUAUUUAGCAGGUGAUGUUGGUUGGUUUGGUAAUGGCAGCAGAGUUGUUGUAACAACUAGAAAUAGAGCUUUGAUAGAGAAGGAUGCUGCUGCAAUAUAUGAAGUGCCCACACUACCUAAUCUUGAAGCUAUGCAACUGUUCAAUCAGUAUGCUUUCAAAAAAGAAGUUCCAGAUGGGCGUUAUGAGAACUUCUCGUUGGAGGUAGUACAUCAUGCUAAAGGCCUUCCGUUAGCCCUCAAGGUGUGGGGUUCUUUGUUGCAUAGGAAAGGCCUAACUCAAUGGAGAAGAACUGUAGACAAAAUAAAGAAAAACUAUAGUUCGGAAAUUGUUGAAAAACUCAAAAUUAGUUAUGAUGGGUUGGAGCCCAAAGAACAAGAGAUGUUUCUAGAUAUAGCUUGUUUUUUCCGAGGAGAUGAAAAAAAGAAAGUCAUGCAAAUAUUUGAGAGCUGUGAUUUUGGACCUGAAUAUGGAUUGGAUGUCCUAAUUGAAAAAUCUCUUGUCUUCUUAACUGAAGAUGAUACAAUUCAAAUGCAUGACUUAAUACAAGAUAUGGGUAAAUAUAUAGUGAAAAUUCAAAAGGAUGCAGGCGAAUGUAGCAGAAUAUGGGAGUAUGAAGAUUUUGAAGAACUGAUGGUCAACAAUACAGGGACCAAGGCAAUGGAAGCAAUCUGGUUUCGUUAUGAUGAGAAAAUAAGCUUUAGCAAGGAGGCCCUGGAAAAUAUGGAAAAACUUAGGAUAUUAUGCAUAUGGUCCCAAGAUUGCUCCCCUUGCCAUGAUGGCUCCAUUGAGUACUUGCCCAACAACUUGUGUUGGUUUGUCUGGAAUCACUUUCCUUGGGAGUCAUUGCCAGAAAAUUUUGAACCCAAAAGGCUUGUUCAUUUUCAACUCCGCUUCAGUUCACUGCGUCAUUUAUGGAUGGGAAUAAAGCAGUUUCCGUAUCUAAGGAUCCUAGAUCUCAGCCGCUCUAGAGACCUGACGCAAACACCAGAUUUCACGGAGAUGCCAAAUUUGGAGUAUUUGGAUUUGGGCAAUUGUGUUAAUCUUGAAGAGGUUCACCAUUCCCUGGGAUGUCCCACAAAGCUCAAGAGGUUAAAUUUGAUAUAUUGUAAACGCCUUAAGAGGUUUCCAUGUGUUAACGUGGAAUCUCUUGAAUAUCUGGAUCUAAAGUUUUGCUCUCGUUUAGAGAAAUUUCCAGAAAUCCGCGGAAGAACGAAGCCGAGCUUAGAGAUUAAGAUGUGGGACUCUGAGAUGAGGGAACUACCAUCAUAUAUUGUUCAGUGGCUAACUCUGAGACACUUAGAAAGCCUUGUAUCUCUUCCGAGCAGCAUGGGCAUGUUGAAAGGUUUGGUUAUUCUAGAUGUGUCGAAUUGCUAUAAACUUGAAAGCUUGCCAGAAGAUCUAGGAGAUUUAGUAAACUUGGAGAAGCUUGAUGCCACAGGGACUCUAAUUUCACGACCUCCGUCUUCCGUCGUUUGCUUGAACAAGCUUAAAUUCAUGAGUUUUGCAAAACAAAGAUAUAGCGUAAGCCUCGAAGAUGGAGUGUACUUUGUGUUCCCUCAAGUGAAUGAAGGGUUACGCUCAUUGGAAGAUCUGGAUCUCAGUUACUGCAAUUUAAUAGAUGGAGGACUUCCGGAAGACAUUGGAUCCUUAUCUUCUUUGAAAGAGUUGAAUCUCAGCGGAAACAAUUUUGAGCAUCUGCCUCAAAGCAUAGCACAACUUGGUGCUCUUCGAUCCUUGGACUUAAAAGAGUGCAAGAGGCUUAAAGAGUUGCCAGGUUUCAUGGGGAUGCCAAACUUGGUGACUUUGAAUCUCAGUAUAAAUAACAUUGGGCAUUUACCUCAAAGCAUAGCCCAACUUGGUGCUCUUCGAUCUUUGGACCUAUCAUAUUGCAAGAGGCUUAAAGAUUUGCCAGGUUUCAUGGGGAUGCAAAACUUGGAGACUUUGAAUCUGUCAAAUUGUAUAAAUCUUGAAGAGGUUCAUCAUUCCCUGGGACUUCUCAGAAAGCUCUGUACAUUAAAAUUGACUAAUUGUAAACGGCUUAAGAGGUUUCCAGCUCUGUGCAUCGAUUCUCUUGACUAUUUGUGUUUACGGGAUUGCUCUAGUUUAGAGAAAAUUCCGGUAAUACUCGGUAGCAUGAAAGCGGAGUUAGAGAUUCACAUGCUCGACAGUGUAAUAAGGGCUCUAGGUUUUAGAGGUUUUGAAAACCUUGCAACACUUCCAAGCAGCAUUUGUAAGUUGGAAAGUUUGGUCAGCCUAAAUGUGUCGGAUUGCUCUAAGCUUAAAAACUUUCCAGAAGAGAUAGGGGAUUUAAAAAACUUGGAGAAUCUUGAUGCUAGAGGUACUCUAAUCUCACAACCUCCAUUUUCCAUUGUCCAGUUGAACAAGCUUAAAUUUUUGAGUUUUGCAAAACGAAAUUCUGGAGGAGGUUUCGUAGAUGGAGUGAACUUUGUGUUCCCUCAAGUGGAUGAAGGGUUACGGUCAUUGGAACAUCUAGAUCUCAGUUACUGCAAUCUAAUAGAUGGAGGACUUCCAGAAGAUAUUGGUUGCCUACGCUCUUUGAAAGAGUUGUAUCUCUGUGGAAAUAAUUUCGAGCAUUUGCCUCGAAGCAUAGCACAACUUGGCGCUCUUCGAUUCUUGAACUUAUCAGAUUGCAAGAGGCUCAAAGAGUUGCCAGGUUUCAUGGGGAUCCCAUACUUGGAGACUUUGAAUCUGUCAAAUUGUAUGAAUCUUGAAGAGGUUCAUCAUUCCCUGGGAUUUCUUGAAAAGCUCUGUUCAUUAAAAUUGACUAAUUGUGAAAGAAUCAAGAGGUUUCCAGUUUUGUGCAUCGACUCCCUUGAAUAUCUGAAUCUGGAGGGGUGCUCUAGUUUAGAAAAUUUUCCAGAAAUCACCGGAAGCAUGAAUUUGAAGUUAAAGAGUGGGAUAAGGUGCCUAGAUUUGAGAGGUUUAGAAAACCUUGUAACACUUCCGAGCACUAUUUGUAAGUUGAAAAAUUUGGUGGAGCUAAAUGUCUCGGCAUGCUCAAAACUUGAAAGCUUUCCAAAAGAGAUAGGGGAUUUAGAAAACUUGGAGUGGCUUGAUGCCAAAGAUACUCUAAUUUCACAACCUCCGCGCUCCAUAGUCCAUUUGAACAAGCUUCAUUUCUUGCGGUUCGCAAAACAAGAAUCAGAAGUAGGCCUCGAAGAUGGAGUUUGCUUUGUUUUCCCUCCAGUGUCUGAUGGAUUACGCUUGUUGGAGAUUCUGAAUCUCAGCUACUGCAAUCUAAUAGAUGGAGGGCUUCCGCAAGACAUUGGAUACUUAUCCUCUUUGAACGAGUUAUGUCUCUGUGGAAAUAAUUUUGAGCAUUUGCCUCAAAGCAUAGCCCAACUUGGUGCUCUUCGAUCCUUGGACCUAUCAUAUUGCAAGAGGCUUAAAGAGUUGCCAGGUUUCGGUGGGAUGCAAAACUUGGAGACUUUGAAUCUGUCAAAUUGUAUGAAUCUUGAAGAGGUUCAUCAUUCCCUGGGAUGUCUCAAAAAGCUCUGUACAUUAAAAUUGACUAAUUGUAAAUGGCUCAAGAGGUUUCGAGUUCUGUGCAUCGAUUCCCUUGAAUAUCUGAAUCUAGAGGGGUGCUCUAGUUUAGAAAAUUUUCCAGAAAUCCUCGCAAGCAUGAAACUGAAGUCGGAUAUUCACUUGUUAGACAGUGUGAUGAGGGAUCUAAAUUCCAUGUAUAUUUCACUUCCGCGUUCUUUGUCUCAGGAUAUCGUUUCCUUGUCGAAUGCCAUCUCUGCUUCAGAUUCCUUGUCACAAAGAGUGUUUACCAUUGUGCAUGGUGGGAAUAAGAUCCCAAGUUGGUUCCACCAUCAGGGAAUAAAUGAAAGUGUAUCGAUCAAUUUGCCUGAAAAUUGGUAUGUAAGUGAUAACUUUUUGGGAUUUGCUGUAUGUUACUCUGGCAACCUAAUUGACAUCACAGUUGACUUGAUUCCCUUGUGUGAUGAUCGGAUGACCCAGAAACUAGAAUUAUCCACCCUUCCAAAUUAUGAUUCAGAAUCAUCCAGCGGUUUAGAAUGUGAUACUGAACCUACUAUUCAUUUUUUCUUGGUACCUCUUGCUGGCUUAUGGGAAACAUCUAAGGCAAAUGGGAAAACACCAAAUGACUAUGGGCUUAUUAAGUUAUUGUUCUCCGGAGAAAUGAAGGAGUUUGGAUUUCGUAUGUUGUAUAAAGAUGAACCAACAGAACAUUGCAUUGGGACAAAGAGGAACAGAUCUGACGAUAGUGAACACCAUGAUGAAGUCGGCUGCUCCUCUUCUAAGAAACAAAGGUCACAUUUCUAAUAUUCAUUCAUUGGACCUGUCUUUGAGAAUCUGCAGCAACAACCAGUUUCUUCAGAAACUUUGCAGCUCUUUCCCCGAAACCCAGAAUUUUGGCUUAAAUAUAGCAUUAGUUACAGAACUAGUUUUUCCUCCAUGAAGUAAAUUUUGGUGGGGUUUUGAGGCCUGUGCAGCUGCUGGGGAGUUUAUGUGGCAGUUGCCACAGUUAACUAAGCAGGAGCAAGAGACUAAACUCUGAAGAUGUUGACAAAGAAGGCACUCUACACAUCCAUUUGAUGCAGUGUGAAUUCCAUAUUGGCAGCAACUGAUGCAUUAUUACAAAUGAGAGAAAAUGAUGAUGAACCAACAGAUAUAGAACUCAUGACUCCGUUGUCCAAUGAAGCCAGUUGAUGUCGAAUAGUCAAUAACAUUAGAAGGUCACAUUUCUUAAGUAUAGGAGCUCUUCAAUCAUUGAUUUACAUAUUUUCAGUGAGUUUCGUCAACUGAUUCUUCAUAUUAUAUCCGCUUGUGUGAACCAUGAUUAACCAAGGUGAGUUAUAGGCUAACAAGUUCAAAUUUUCGAUGCUCAAAUCAGAUCCUGGAAUCACGCAACAUUAAUUCAAUAAAUGUGCGAGAAGCAAGAAAACUUUGCCAAAACGGGUGGGUGAGAAUCCAUGGAACUAUCAGUAAGUCACCUCACAUCACAAAGCAAACGGACCAAAGGGAAACUAUAUCCAGGAACCAAAUGGAGAUCUGGUGGUAGAGUAACUAUUCUUCCUUCGGAUGUAGAGCUCAAGUGCUUUCUGUUAACGUCAAGCAAGCAUAGAGUUUUGAUAUUGUUCCACUUUCAAAUCUACAUGUGGUAGAAAUAGUUGGUGGUUAGGAACAAAACACCGAAACUGAUCAAUCCAAUCCAGUAUUAUGGUAACAACCAAAAAAUCAAUAAAAGUACUGGAAAUUUGUCAUCUCAGAAUUGGAGAAUUAGAACGGGAUGGCAAUCCCAACAACCACCAGGGUGUUCACUACAAGUUUUUGACCAAGCUCCAGAUUGCAUUACCAAUGCACUCCACGCUGAUAAAGCAGGCACUGUUUACCUGCGUAAAAAGCACAUAGUCACUAGUCAGCAUAGUUUCCCCCUUCUGGAGUUGUAAAUAACCCUUCCUAGUGCUAGUGCUAGUGCUAUUACUUUUGCUCCCACUGCUUUAUCUAAUUCUACUAUGCAAUCAACAAAUGGUCAACCCAGCUAUGUAACCACUCUGUAAUAGCCAGCGUGUUUAACAUACUAUCUUGUCUACCAAAAAAAAAACAGUUAUCAAUCGAGACAAACAUGAGUGAAGUCAAACUGUUCUGUCAGCGACAAAGAAAUUAUUCUUCUUUUUCCUUGCAGCUUCAUCAGCUUGUACUUUUAGUUGUGCAUUGUGUACAAAUUACUCUGGAGUAUGGAGCCACUUAAGGUACAUGUGGCAUGGAAGGAGACAAAACAAGGGAGGUUACAAGAGAAGGCUCGGAAAACAGGUCACCCGAGAGCACACCAAAGAGCCUUCAAGAAGACAUCCUCUGGGAAUGAAUUGAAGAUAGAACAGAUGAAUCUGAAGGACAAUGAGACAAGGGAGAGAAGAUGUUGGGAGAUUCAGGUGCGCUGACGAGCCUUGUACGAAUUUGAGCUCUAUAGGAAUAUUAGCUGGCAUUAUUAACGGUACCACCACCUGGUGUUUUAUCAUUGGUCUUAUUAUGAAAGGGAUUGGCCAAAGCCCCUCCCCACUGUAACCUUUAAAUAGUUUGCAUCAAACAUUUGUAAAGGAAUUUCAAAUUCUACCAAUACAACAACAAUACAUUAUCUUCUUUAA